rnacentral:lncRNA from 1 species
CUGUUUUGAAUGUAUAUCAAGUCAUGGAUCUAGCUUCUGGAUUUGGAUUAUGCUAAUGUUUUUUCUGUAGAACAGGGGACUUGACUUUUGCUACUAAUGCUUUUGUACAAAACAGGGGACUUGACUUGUGCUAGACUUUUGCCACUAAUGCCUUUGUACAAAACGGGGGACUUGACUUUGGCUACUAAGUUAUUUUUGAGGGUUGUUUAUAAGAUUUGGUUGUCGCUCAAAUCUAUUUUAGGGGCAUAGAUUUUGUACUUUAUGGAUAUGUAUAGACAACCAUGAAUUCUUGGAAGCAAUGAGUAGUAAAUGUUAUUUUAGUUUUGGUGCUUUCAAA